rnacentral:rRNA from 1 species
UACGGAAGGCAGCAGUGGGGAAUAUUGCACAAUGGGCGCAAGCCUGAUGCAGCCAUGCCGCGUGUAUGAAGAAGGCCUUCGGGUUGUAAAGUACUUUUCAGUCGUGAGGAAGGUGUUAAGGUUAAUAACCUUAGCAAUUGACGUUAGCGACAGAAGAAGCACCGGCUAACUCCGUGCCAGCAGCCGCGGUAAUACGGAGGGUGCGAGCGUUAAUCGGAAUUACUGGGCGUAAAGGGCACGCAGGCGGUUAAUUAAGUUGGAUGUGAAAUCCCCGGGCUUAACCUGGGAAUGGCAUUCAAGACUGGUUAGCUAGAGUCUUGUAGAGGGGGUAGAAUUCCAUGUGUAGCGGUGAAAUGCGUAGAGAUGUGGAGGAAUACCGGUGGCGAAGGCGGCCCCUGGACAAAGGACUGACGCUCGAUGUGCGAAAGCGUGGGGAGCAAACAGGGAUUAGAUACC